UCAAUUUGAUGGCAAACCUAGAAUUUUGAUACUCUAUCUUCACCUUUGAUACUCUCUUGAUUUACCAAAAUUUGUUUCUGUUUUUCACCAUUUUUCCACUUAAAUUUCAGCAUUUGAAAGCUCAAAUAAUCAAUCAACUAACAAAGAACUCACUCCCCCACACUUAAACUUGGCCGUCUCGGACAAUGCAUCUCCAUUCAAUCCAAGUUAAAAUACCUCUAGCCACUGUUUUAUUUUACUUCAUUCUGUAGAAUUUCCUUACUUCCGCAACAAUUUUAGCAGAAAAGUACAACGUUUUGGAUGUUAGAAAUGAACUGUUCGAAGCAAUUUAAAGACCAUCAGGAUCAGCAAGUAGCGUGAUCUGCCAAUUCCCAAAAGUUUGGAUCUUCAUACAAAAACCAGCACACACAAAUAAGAAAACUGCAGCUCCUAUUCCAGCAAUCCAAUUUCAGAAUUCAAAAUUCAAAAUCAGAAAUUCAGAUUUAAAGCUUAAGUUUCAGCAGAUCAGAAAUCAAUUCCAGCAAUACGAAUUCAGGUUCUGUUUCCUACUAAUUCAUUUUCCUGAAUUCAUUGGCAUGGUCUCACUAUAGCUUGUUGUAGAUGGGCAGCUUACACCUGGACAAUUUCAAAGCCCACAUCAGGUUGCAUGCGUUAAACAUGAGAGUGCUUCGCAAAGAAGACCCAGAAAGCGGAGCAUUGCAGCACGGUAAGGUGGUGCGCUGAAACUUCCCACGAGGACCAGUGCUUGCAGUAGUCAUCGACGCAUGGACCAAGUCGAACCCCAAAACCCCUUGAAAAGAAUUCAUGAAGCUUUGUGUCAUAGUAUUUAUCCAAAAUGAAAAGUUGGGUACCAAACAGGUCAAGGUUAUCAUGUAGUAUGCACAUGUUGGAGCUCACCCAUUCCCCACCACCCCGUGGGAUCCAAAUCCACUCUGCAACUUCAUUAUCAGGCUCCCAUUUAUGUUCAUUCAAGAAUAGGUACACUCUCGAGAUCGUAGUAAUAUCAGAGUGACACCUAAUAUGAAGUGCCAGUAAAAGGCAUGCUUGAGUGUCAUCCACAGAUACACCAAUUUCUUUAAGCUUCCUUCUAUAAGAAGCAAGCUCAGAUCCAUAAAAGAUGUCAUCAAUAAACGGACCGUCUUUUCUUUGCAAUAUCCACUUGGGAUCAAAAAGAAGGCUCUCUUUUGGAAAUCUGUAACCUAGAAUUGUUUUUAUCCAUCUAUUAUUCAUCUUUUGCUUGAACCCCA